rnacentral:rRNA from 1 species
CCUACGGGAGGCAGCAGUGGGGAAUUUUGGACAAUGGGCGCAAGCCUGAUCCAGCAAUGCCGCGUGAGUGAAGAAGGCCUUCGGGUUGUAAAGCUCUUUUGUCAGGGAAGAAACGGUGGGGGCUAAUAUCCCUUGCUAAUGACGGUACCUGAAGAAUAAGCACCGGCUAACUACGUGCCAGCAGCCGCGGUAAUACGUAGGGUGCAAGCGUUAAUCGGAAUUACUGGGCGUAAAGCGUGCGCAGGCGGUUUUGUAAGUUUGUCGUGAAAUCCCCGGGCUCAACCUGGGAAUGGCGAUGAAGACUGCAAGGCUAGAAUCUGGCAGAGGGGGGUAGAAUUCCACGUGUAGCAGUGAAAUGCGUAGAGAUGUGGAGGAACACCGAUGGCGAAGGCAGCCCCCUGGGUCAAGAUUGACGCUCAUGCACGAAAGCGUGGGGAGCAAACAGGAUUAGAUACCCUGGUAGUCCACGCCCUAAACGAUGUCUACUAGUUGUCGGGUUUUAAUUAACUUGGUAACGCAGCUAACGCGUGAAGUAGACCGCCUGGGGAUACGGUCGCAAGNUUAAAACUCAAAGGAAUUGACGA